AAACCAUACUGUGGGCACUUCCGCAAGAGGUCUUUGAAUCGCUCCCAUAUCUCAAACAAGGAUUCAAGCUCCAUAUGAACAAACAACGACAUUUUAUUACGAAGCUU